UACGAAGGGGGCUAGCGUUGCUCGGAAUCACUGGGCGUAAAGGGUGCGUAGGCGGGUCUUUAAGUCAGGGGUGAAAUCCUGGAGCUCAACUCCAGAACUGCCUUUGAUACUGAGGAUCUUGAGUUCGGGAGAGGUGAGUGGAAUUCCCAGUGUAGCGGUGAAAUGCGUAGAUAUUGGGAGGAACACCAGUGGCGAAGGCGGCUCACUGGACCGGUACUGACGCUGAUGCGCGAAAGCGUGGGGAUCAAACAGG
rnacentral:rRNA from 1 species